UACGUAGGUGGCAAGCGUUGUUCGGAAUUACUGGGCGUAAAGCGAGUGUAGGCGGUUUGGUAAGUCGGAUGUGAAAGCCCCGGGCUCAACCCGGGAAGUGCACUCGAUACUGCUAAGCUAGAGUAUCGGAGAGGUUGGGGGAAUUCUCGGUGUAGAGGUGAAAUUCGUAGAUAUCGAGAGGAACACCGGUGGCGAAGGCGGCCAACUGGACGAAUACUGACGCUGAGAC
rnacentral:rRNA from 1 species